AUUUUUUUCCUUCCCUCAUUAUUUCCUGCAAAGGGAGAGCGGCUUGGGAGGCUCGGGAGGAACGAGCAGCGGUCAAAGACGCCCGGCGGCCAGCCUGCGGUACCCACGGCUACAGAUCAACCACCAGAGGUCGUUCUUCUCCUACUUCGGCGAUGUGGCUUUUUGCUCCGGCGGCGCAGGCCUAAUACCAAGUCCUGACAACUGGGGAGGAAUGUGUGACAGAGAGACAGUGGAGGAGAGGAAAGAUGAUGGUGAAAUGCCUCGCCAAUCGGGGCUUCUUGUAUCGCUGGGGGAGACGAACAGUUGUAACCGCCAUCCAUCAGGCGGUUACGGAUGCCUAUUGAUGGGGUAAUGGCCUCUCCCCCCGUUUCUCCUAAAAACGUGGCGGUUAUCACAGGUUGAGCUUCCACACUAGAAUUUUGGCUAUCCUUGAGAGUUUGUCAAUAGGGGAGAGUAGAUCCAUCAAACUUUCCAAUUGCAUGGUUUAUUGUUGGAUGAGUGGUCCUUGGAGCUUAAUUUUCUAAUGAAGAGAUCUCUAGUUCCAUUGGGAUGCUACUGAAACAUUCUCUUUCACAGCUCUCGAGAAUAAGUUAGGAAACAAAAGAGAAAAUGGUCCAAACCAACCCAGGUAUCCUCCCAAAAUUGAUGUUCUGUCCAAUUCCAAAAAGGAUCAAGUUCCUUACUUACGUUUUUCCAGAUUGGCAAUAGGUUGACUAGACAUUUCUUCACUCUCAUUCCAAAUCUCUUUCUAGAGUAGUAAGCACUUCUAAUUUGGUUCUACCAUAGUGUACCAGAGUUGGCUAGUAAU